CCCAACAUUACUGGCAUUAGAAAACAGUAUGCUACCAUUUUAACUUUUUUUUGAGUUCUUUUUUAUUCGUUAAUUGCCCAUCAAUUAAGUGAAUUUGAACUUCUUCUUAAUUUUUCAAUUUUACACUGGAAGGGAUUGAACCAUUUGACCUCUCCUACCUCUAACCCAUUUCCCCACUCUAACUCACCACUUGGGCUAACCCCAAGGUUUAAAACUUCACCUCUUUGAUAGGAGAUGGGGCAAGAUUUAGAUGUUCAGGAAUUUAUGAAGGAAAUUCUGUUUGCAUUUACUUUUAAUACGUUUGAUGUUAAUAAGAUAUGAGCUUUCUGUCUCUCUCCCACUUCCCCCACCUGCCCCUCCUCCCUAUGUUUCAGCAUGUUAUAACUUAGAAGUUUACUCAACUUUAGUUGUUACCAAUUUCCUGUUCUCUUCAUUUUGUCCAACACAGAUAGCACAAAUGUUGGCUGUGCUCGUUUCCAAAAUUGCUCGUAUAGAUUACCCCAAAGAAUGGUAUGAUUUUACUGUAACUUCAACUUCUAUGGUUUUUUAAAAUAGACCUUGCAGGAAAGUUAUAAACUUAUAAUCUGGUUGAGCUUUGUGGUGCUAUAAGAACUUGAUAAUGGGAUGUUAUGGGAUGGGAUCCGCUGUCCCCAUUUUCCAUGUCCCUCCGUGUCCCUUGUAUAAUUUUUUGACAUGUGUCCAACAACUUAACCCUAACAUAACACUGUUAACUAAUAAAUUAGAAAAAUNNNNNNNNNNNNNNNNNNNNNNNNNNNNNNNNNNNNNNNNNNNNNNNNNNNNNNNNNNNNNNNNNNNNNNNNNNNNNNNNNNNNNNNNNNNNNNNNNNNNUCAAGCAGUACUACAAUUUCAAGAUGGGUUUUCAAGGAAGGUAUCACAUUUUGGCUGCCCAGUGCCCACCACCAUAUACAAUUUCCUAAUCACUAUUAAUUGGAAGCAUAGCUAAAAACCUUUUCCCAAAAAAACCAAAGGCAUUAGAGAUGUUCAGAUUUAGAACCUAACAUUGCUGAGAAGAUCUAGAACACUUCACCUCAGGCCCUUGCUUUCUGCAGCAGAGGAGUGAAGGCAUGGCAAGAGGAAUUAGCAGCAGCAUUGGACGCCAAUUCCUUGCAAGAAUCAAAACCAACUUCAGAAACCAUCUUCAAGAACUCUUCCAAUCCCAGCCGUCCAAAUUUGCUCUCAUCCCUCUCAAUAAAUCUCAAGAUCUCUUUGAAAACCCCAACCUCGCAAGGCAACACGAGGCCUCCGCUGCACCCGAACCCAAACUCUUCCUCGGCCUUCUUUAGUAAUCUGACGAAAACCGGGAGGUUCACGAACCAGGCCUGGAUCACGACAAGGGGAGAGGGCUCGUCUGCAGUGAGAAGGACAAGGGGUUGUGGCGGGUGAGGUGGUGGGCACUCAAACUGGUGGCUGUUUGGUUACAUUUAUUCUUUUAAUGUUUAGUUUUUAUUUUUCUAAUUUAUUAGUUAACAUUGUUAUGUUAGGGUUAAGUUGUUGGACACAUGUCAAAAAAUUAUACAAGGGACACGGAGGGACAUGGAAAAUGGGGACAGCAGAUCCCAUCCUGGAUGUUAUAGGGUUUUAUUUCUUUCAUCAACUGCUUACAAGAAACGGGAACUAGGGGAAAGAAAGAAGAUUAGGGACACGAGUUACAUGAAUUAGCCUUGCAUGAAUUUUCUGUUUUAAAAAAAAAGAGAACGAUAUAAAUAUCUACAUUCUAAGGUGUAUGAUGCUGCAGAAAGUCAGACUGGACGUGAAUCCCAUAUUUUGCCUAUAGUUUGAAAGAAAAUUACCCUAGAGAGAACUGAAUGAGGAAAAAUAUGAAUUUGUCAUAUAGUUUAAGACGCUCGUGUUCACAUUGCAGACAAUGGCUUAGUAAUUGUAGGAUAAGCAGAUGGCUGGAUUAUGAAAUACUUUAGAAGUGAGCAUAGCUUGUUUAGUUUGAUUUGUUCUUAUCAAGACUUGCAAACUCUGUAUGCCUUUUUUUUUUCUUCUUGGAUGAGUUUGCGCAUGUGCAAAUGAUGUGUUUAUUGUUGAAUGUUGGGUUUCAAACGUCAGUCCCCUGACAUAUUUUGUAUGUUCCUAUAUCGUGUAAAACUUGUACUGAUCUAUCAACCUAAUGACAUGUUCAGGCCAGAGCUCUUUUCUGUUUUAGCACAGAAGCUUCAAUCAACAGAUGUUCUUUCCUCCCACAGGAUUUUUUUGACUCUCUUUCGAACUUUGAAGGAAUUGUCCACUAAGCGACUUAUCUCAGACCAAAAGAACUUCGCAGAGGUAUAGGCUACUGUACUAUUUCCUCUAUUUUUCUGCAACACAGGAUGUCUUCCAUUUUCUCGAAUUAUUGUAUUAUGAAAUCAACAAUGUGCUGAGGUGUGGUCAGGUAUUGGUGUUAAAACCUUAUUGGGGUGGUUAAGGAGGCUUGGGUUUCUAAAUGUGUCUUCCGUAUGGCAUUAAAAGGUUAUUUAUGUGUGGGAUUAAGCUAGAUAUCCCUUUUUUCAGUUUUCAUUCCUGUAAUAGUUUAACAUAGAUAUCAUUUUGUGGUUUUCAUUCUUGUGCAACAGUAAAAUAUUCCUUGAGCUGCCAAUCAUAUGUUUUAAGGAGCAGUCUUUUCUAAUUGAGAUUUUAAUUCUCUGUUAAUCUGGUUAAUUUGUUUUAGUCUCUGAGCAGGCAAUGUGUAGUGUUAAUCUGUUGCCUUAAUUGUAAAGGAGCACAUGGCUCGUAAAUGUGGACAGCCCGUGGCAUGGACUUUUUUUAUAGUCUGGACGUUUGCUCUCGUGAAGUGUGACAAGCUACCAAUAAAAAUUUCUAAGAAAUUUCAGAAUGACUAAAAAUAUUUUUUUUUCUCUCUUACUAAUGAGUUCAAAGGUCUUUUGUUGAAGAAGAUCGUGAUUGACUCGAUUUCUGAGCUUUAUUAGGUGUAGUGUGGAGCAAUGUUGUCCAAGGCGAGUCGUUGAGUCGAGGCGUAAGCCUUUCGGAUGUGUAUCAUUAUAAUUAAUAAAAUACACAUGUUAAAUAUGUGAUUGUGUGUGUAUAUAUGGGGUCAUGCAAUUUAAUUAGUGGUCAUGAACCUUAUUAUUUAUUUUCUGUUGUUGGGCAACUUAUGAAGCCUAGCUUUCUGAUAGCCACAUACUUAAGCAGCCAACCAGAGCUGCACACCUGUUGUAGAGUAGAGAGAUGUUUUUGCUGUUGAAAAAUUAGGGGGCACCACAAUCUUUUGUUUUAAAGGGGGUGUGUGGGCAGUGAGGAUCUUGAACCUCAUGCUCUACACUGUUUCUGCCAAAUCUGGUUUUGAAUCAAGACUCUUGAUUUCCAAGCCCCUGGUGAUGGGGAUGACUACUGAAGUUGAGCUUCCUUAUGAGGAUGGACUCGAAGUCAAUUUAUUUAGGACGGCAACUGCCUGUUAAUUUCAUUUGUUUCUUUGUAGUGAAUUUUGAAGCUUUACAGAUAUUGUCAGGUUUUGGCAAAAGAAAGGUCCUUAAAGUCUGCACACACAGAUAUAUUACUUAUUAUGAAGGUGUUGUUUUUCUUGUAUACCUUAUGAACAUCUUAUACGAAACCUUCGUACUUAUGGAUUUUUUUUUUUUUUUUUUUUUGCAGAUAUCAUCUCAUUUCUUUGAUUAUAGCUGGCACCUUUGGCAGAGUGAUGUGCAAACAAUAUUGCACGGUUUUUCUACUCUUUCUGAAAGCUACAACUCAAAUACAUUUGAUCAACAUCAGGAUGAGCUUUAUCUAACUUGUGAGCGAUGGCUGUUGUGCUUAAAGAUAAUACGCCAGUUAGUAGUUUCAGGGUUUCCAAGUGAUGCAAAAUGUGUACAGGUAGUUAACACCCCCAACCAAAACGCAAAAGAUAAAAAAUAUUGGUGGUGAUGUCUUACCAUUAUCUCAGCUGCACCGACACUUUUCAUCAAUACGGCGGUGCACAAUUAUCGUUCAUAACUCAUCUGUGUGUAUUUUUUAGGAGGUCCGGCCAGUAAAGGAGGUCUCACCCGUGCUCUUGAAUGCCAUUCAGUCAUUUCUUCCAUACUGUGAGAUCUGCUCUCCUGUCUAAUUUUUCAGCAAAAUUGUAUCUGCAUAAAUUAUGUCGAGAAGAGGCUGUGUAAACGGUUUUUCUGGAUAAUGUGAUGUAGGAUAUGGGUGAAUUAUAGAUUUAGGUAGUUUACCGGAAGUGAAAACAAUGAAAACAGAAAAUUAAGGGCCCGUUCGGUAACGUUUUCGGAGAAUGUUUUCUUAGAAUAUUUUCAGAGAAUGAAAACAAGAAAGCGAUUUGAAAAUGCGUCUGGUAGGUUAAUUAGAAAACAGAUUCAGAAAACAAAAACAAUGAAAACAUGUCUGGUAGUACAAUUUGAGAAUAAUAAUAUGUGAGUUAUUUCAAGUGUAUUUUUGCGAAUUUAUGUUCUAAAAAGAAAUUUUUUUUAAAUGUAUAAUUUAACCCCAAAAAAAAUUAUAUUGUUUUUUAAAAGGUAAAACUAUCUUUAUCUCCUUUAUUUUUUUUUUCUAUUUUUUCAGCCAACGCCGUCCCUUUCUUUUUCUUUCUUCCUCUUCUCUCCUUUCUCUUUUCUUCUCCCAUCCCAUCCAAGGCCUGAUAUUCUCUCUCUCUCUCUCUCUCUCUCUCUCUCUCUCCCCACUUGGCAGUUUGCUUAGUGGGUGGUGGUAUUGAUGGUAGGGUCGAUUGGGUUUGACUGGGUGGUGGUGCGAUUAGCAGCUGGCUGGUCUGUUGUGGUGAUUGUGGUUCGAUUGGCCUGUAGUGGCUAUUGGGUGGUAGCUGUUGGGUCGAGAAAGGGGGAGAGAAGAGCAGGGUGAGCGAGGGGGAGAGAAGAUCUUUGUUUUUUGGUCUGAUGGGGAGAGAAGAUUGAGCAAGAGAUUGACGACAGUGAGCAGCAGCAACUGUUCUUUUUCAACCUCCCUUGUUUUGAGCGUUUCCCGUGAGAAUGAAAACAUCUUUUUUUCUGUUUUCUACAAAUACGCUUGAACUUGUUUUCAUUUUAGGAAAACAUUCUCAGUGUUUUCUGCUUUUGGCCCGCCGAACAGGUUCUUGCCGUGUUUUUGUUCUAUUAAAAUGAAAACAACCCCUUAAAACUUAACCGAACGGGCCCUAAAUGAAUAAGGAUAGGUCUGGAAUCACUCCAGGGGCUUCAGACCCGUACUUGGCUUCACACCAAGAAUUCCAAUCUCUGGAAAAUAAACUUGACUCAAUAACUCAAAUCUCAAAUCUCCAUAAUGAAUUACAUAGGCGGGUAUUUAUAAUAAUCUAACCCUAGAAUGAAAAGGAAAUUAAACUUAUUCUAGGAAAGAAAUCCUAAUCCAAAUAAAAUAGGAAACUUAGAAAUCCUACUGAAAUCUGGAAAACUUAGAGAACCUAGGAAACUAACAACAACAAAAGAAAGCUGCUCCAGAAUUGCAGGAUUUGAAGACUGAAUUAAUUAUUUCCUCUUCCAUCUCUUUCGUUUGUAAGCCCUAAUGGGUUUGACAAAGAUGUCCUCAUCAUAAUAUGAACUCUCUCUCUCUCUCUCUCUCUCUCUCUCUCUCUCUCUCCAUCAAAAAUAUUUAAACCUUUCAUAUGUUUUCCAAAUGUCUCUGUUUUCCCAAGUUCAUUAAGGGUCUCAGUUUGUGAACUGGUGUUUAAGAUCCAUUAAUUUGCGUUAUUUAGUCAGUUAGACUUGUACAGGUGUCAGUUUUUCCCUUCUAAUUAAUGACUAUCUUUUGGGUAGAAAGGAAGCUAAAGCCACCUUGAAUAACUACUUUGGAUACAUAUAUGUAUGUUAUGGUUGCAAAUAUGUUUUUGUUUAACAACAUUUUCCAGAAAUGUAAUGUUGCCUUUUUCCAGAUUCUUCCUUUCAGAAAGGACAUCCUAAAUUUUGGGACUUCCUAAAGAGGGCAUGUACCAAGCUGAUGAAGGUUUUAAUUGCAAUUCAAGGAAGGCAUCCUUACUCAUUUAGUGAUAAAUGUGUCCUUCCAACUGUAGUCGAUUUCUGUUUAAAGAAGAUAACAGAGCCUGAACCAGAUGUGUUAACGUUUGAGCAGUUUCUGAUUCAAUGUAUGGUAAUGGUUAAGUGUGUAUUGGAAUGUAAAGAGUACAAGCCAAGUCUCACUGGUCGGGUGAUGGAUGAAAAUGUGGUUACACUGGAGCAAAUGAAGAAAAGCAUAUCUGGUGCAGUCAGUGGUGUCUUGACUUCCCUUAUGACAAGUGAACGUAUAGUGGUCUUGUGUAACAUAUUAAUAAGAAGGUAAUGAUAUUCUAACCUCUGUUUCACUUUAUCUGGUUGCUAUGGCAUUAUCUUGCUUUUGUUUUUACUUAAUGUUUUAUUAAAGGGAAGAGGAGGGGGGGUGGGGGGGUUUGUGCGGGGUGGUGUGGGGUUUUUAUAUGUUAGCGUCAUAAAUUGGUAAUUUUUUUUUUUAUGUAAGUUAAAUAUUUUAGAUGUGUCUCUAGUAUCUUACAUAAUUGAUUGAGUGUACAGUGGCACCUCUUCAGUCUUAUGUGCAUGUGGUAUCUGUUUACUCACAUAUAGUGUUUUUACUUAUACCCUAGUUUCAUUUUGGUCCUCCAACUUUGUUUUUAUAGUCAAUUUGGUAAUCCAACUCUCUCAGUCGUGCCAAUUGGGUACUUCCGUUACAGUCCUCCAAUUUUGCUGUCUAUUUGAGCUGUCAAUUUAGGCACAAAUAUCUUCUAAAACGACCUACCCAGCUCUCUACUACUCAUUUCCCUUCAUAAUUUCUUGGAAUUACCCCCAAAUUGAAACCUACUUCACCUAUCUAUCCCAAUUCAGCAAGGCAGAGCUUCUUUUUCUUUUUAUUUGGUUUCCAUUGAAUAUGAAUCUGCUUAAUAGACAAAACCCAUUUUAAAGAACCCAACAAGAGGGAGAGAGAAAGAGGGAGAGAGAGAGUUCUAUGUAAUUCACUUAUCUCUCGUGCUUUGAAGAUUGAAGCUAAAGCGCUUAUUAGCUUUAACUUACAGUACUUUGAUCAAGCUCCAGACUUGAUUUUAGAGUUUAUGGUUUCAAUUUGGUUGAAAGUCUAAGGGAUUAUGGAGGGAAAUGGGCAGUAGAGAGCUGGGUAGGUCGUUUUAGAAGAUACUUGUGCUCAAAUUGACAGUUUCACGCCUCAAAUAGACAGCCAAAUUGAUGGAAUGUGGCGGAAGGACUCAAUUAACACGACGGAGAGAGCUGGAUGACCAAAUUGACUAAAAAAAGUUGACUCUUUAGAAGAAAGGAAAAGAAAUAGUUAGAACAGAAGAUAUAUACCCUAGUGAACAAGAAGCACAAGAAUUUGAUGAGAAGAGAUAUCUUUCUUCAACUGACUGUAUUCUUUCUGCAGAAGAGAUAUCUUUCUUCUUUGUACGGAGGACCAAACGAAACUCGGGUAUAAGUUCAGGGACCUUUGCAGUUAAAAACCCUUACUUAUAUCUUACUAUUUAAAUGAUUCAUUAGUUUGUCUAUGACCAACUUCAAUGUCAUGGUGCUCUAACAUUUCCACGGAGAGUUCCAGGUGUUUAAGUGGGAACUAUGUGGUGUGUGAGGGAAUCUUGGAAGACUCCUGGAUGUGAUUGUCCGCCUUCUUUUAAUAGUGUACAAAUUUUUUUUUCUUCCGUUGUUUGAGUGGCUUCAAAGCUUUCACUAUAUUUAGAAUAGAGUGAUUCAAUUGAUUACAGUCAUGGUAGAGCCAGAAAGGCACUGAGAUGCAAGGAUUUGGGUUUAGAGCUUAUGGUUCUAUUUAAGGUACAAUGAAAUUAUUAGAUAUGCUCUUUGGAUACUUAUUUUGGUAAUAUGUUGCAGGUAUUUUGUUCUAUCAACAAAUGAUUUGGAGGAGUGGUACCAGAGUCCUGAAUCUUUCCAUCAUGAGCAGGAUAUGGUUCAGUGGACAGAAAAAUUAAGGCCAUGUGCUGAAGCUUUGUACAUUGUUCUGUUUGAAAACCACAGCCAGGUUGGUGCAUUUCUGCGUUUUUACAUGGUUUUAUCAAAACAUUAUUAGUUCUAAAAAACUUUAUAUUUUAUAUUUUAAGUUUCAGAAAUUUGUGCUUAUGUGAUCUCAAUUUAUCAAUUUUAGCUUCUUGGUCCUGUUGUGGUUUCCAUCCUUAAAGAGGCAAUGAAUGGUUGCCCAACUUCAGUGACUGAAAUAACCCCAGGGUUGCUUCUUAAAGAUGCUGCUUAUGGUGCUGCUGCAUAUGUUUACUAUGAGCUCUCAAAUUAUCUGAGCUUUAAAGAUUGGUAUGUCUAUUCAUUACACGGAUAUCCAUUCAUUUAUUCAUAUGUCUUGUAUAGGUUAUCCAAAUUUAGGUACCAUUGAAUUGUUGAGGCAUAUAUAUUAUUGUGGUGAUUUGUUAAACUGAUUAUUUCUUAGAACUCGCAUACUGUAUUGUUUGUAUGGAGGGUGGGUUUGUGGCUUCAAGUAUGCACAUGGGCAAUUUUUUUUGUUCUAUGUCCACAAAUUUUGAGAAAAUUGAUUUAGGGUAGGGCAAGUUACUUAUUUUUCCUUGAUUUAUGGAGAUUACAUUUUGUAUAUUUGUGCUCUUUUGUUAGACAGUUGCAUAUUUCACUCGUAACAUGUUUGAGUGUCAUACUUGCUAAAUGAUAAUAUAAGGCUGCAAAAUUGGGUUUCCUGUAUGAAAAAGAAAGGAUGCAAUAAAGGCUUGAAAAAUAAAGGAAAAGAAAAACCAAAAUUCUUGACAUGCUUGUAGAGGUAGAAGUUGUUGGGACAUAACUCCAUGGUUGCUUUUGGUUUGUUAUGGUCUAUAAUUGCACUAUGACUGUGAGUUAACCUAAUAGCAGUCACAUAUCUGUUAGUGAACUUUUGACCUGAUAGCAGUCACAAGUUGUUGGGACAUAACUCCAUGGUUGCUUUCACCGUUGCAGGUUUAAUGGUGCAUUAUCCCUUGAACUCUCAAAUGAUCAUCCAAAUAUGCGUAUCAUCCAUCGGAAAGUUGCACUAAUAUUGGGACAAUGGGUUUCUGAGGUAGCAUAAUAUACUCACUGGAUUUGUAUAUAUUAUUAAACAUACGUAUCUAUGUAUCAUAAUUAACCAUACUUUCUUGUGCCAACACAAUGGUUUUAAUUUUCCAUUCUUUAAUCUUACACGUUCAGGGAAUGGAUAGAUUAAGGGGAAUAUCUAGUUAGAGACAUUAUAUAUAAGACUAAAUCUUUCAAUGUUGGAGAGAGAUGCAAUGUGCUGUGAAUUGCACUCUAUCUCAAAGGGAAGAAGUGUACGGACGUAAUGAAGAUUUGAUGUAUGUUGCAGGCAAAGUUUGUGCCAUCAAGUCCAGUUUGCUCUUAUGAAUAAGGAAAUAAUAUUGGUGAUGAACUUGUCAUUUCCUUCCAUAUGGAUGUAUACUUUUUCCUAAGUAAUUUUCUAGGAUAAAAAACAUUUCUGGAGAUAAUAAUGAAGUUAUGCCAGUUUUAAUUUGUUAUUAGGACUUGUUUUCUUUUGUUUCCCUUGAUAUUUAUUUCUGCACUAACAAAUUAACUAGAUAUAGGACUUAAUGAUAGCUAGUAAACUGUUGCAUUAGUUCUGGAGGUAUAGAGCGGUGGAGUCCUCUGAUUGUACCUUCCUUGAGUGCUCUUUUGAUGGAUAUGGAGCUUUGCAAGAAUCAAUGGAUCUGCUCUUGUGAUAUUUAUUAUGGCAAUCUAAUCCCUGAUUUAUUUAUUUGCCAUUUUCAAUAGCUGUUAGCCAUUUUAUUUGUCAUGUGUCUACUAAAAUAUGGAAAAUGAGUCAUUUUAAUUUAUUUUUUUUCAUUUUAUUGGCAGAUUAAAGAGGACACAAAAAGGCCAGUUUAUUGUGCUUUGAUCAGAUUGCUACAGGACAAGGAUCUAUCUGUUAGGGUAUGCACAUUUUUCUCAUGUAGAUAUUGUCUCUUCAUUUUUUUUCAUUCAUUGCUCUGAGGUUAUUAAAAGCUGCUAAAUUUGGUUGCUGUCCCUAGUUUAAUUACUUAAGCAUGUGCUUUUCUUAUUUUAGUUGGCAGCCUGUAGGUCUCUGUGUUUGCAUAUUGAAGAUGCUAGCUUUUCAGAAAGAGAAUUCAUCGACCUUCUCCCUAUCUGUUGGGAGUCAUGUUUUAAGUUGAUUGAGGAGGUUCAGGAGUUUGACUCAAAGGUAAAUAUUCUGCUGCUUCACUUGGAUGCAACCUUUUUGAAUAUUUUUAAAGUAAUUUCCCCUUUGUUGCUUUUUGUGUAUUUGAUUGCAAAAUGCCAUAAAAAUGGUGUUUGUUGCGUUUUUAUUAUUAUCAUGGGUAUACUAGUGAUUUGCCCCCUGAACUUGUGCCUAGCUUUUGAUUAACCCCCUAUCCUUUUUUUUUUUAUAGAAAAUUAAGGAUAUGAACUUUUUUUCGCCAAUUUCCCCCCUACCGUCUAAAUCCUCAACAUUUCAUCCAAUUUGCCGUUAAAUAUGAGGGCAUAUUGGUCAUUUCAAACAUUAAAAUUAAUAAAUAUAGAAAUUAAAAUUAAAAAAAUUAAAAAUUGAAAUAAUAAUGAUAUAUUCACCCUCUGUUUGACAGCCACCAAAAUCACCACCCUCUCUUUGAUCUCUUUGGUGGCUGUUUGGGUUUCCUGGGGAGUAAGUGAGGUUAAUAAUAAAGAUCUUGAAAUUUUUUGGGUGGCUAUUUAGCAUUUUGAUCUUGAAUAUUUUUUUUUUUGGGUGGCUGUUUGGGUUUUCUGGGAGGUGAGGUUGUGGAUGUCGAAGAAAGAGGGAGACAGGAGGAGGGGGCGGGUGAAGAGUGGGCGGUGUUGAUGUCUGUGAAGAGAGAGGAGAGAGAGGGAGACACUUUGUAGAGAACAAAAGGAAGAAAAACAAAAAAGAAGAUCAAAACCCUAAAGCCUAAGGGAAUAGGGCAACGAGAGAGAGGAGGCGGGAGGAGGUGAGUCGGGGGUGGGGUUGGCUGGCCUCGGGAGAAGCAUCGGGCAGAGGAGGGGGAAAAAAAACCCGAGGGGAGGGGGAAGAAAAAAACUGAGUUUUGUGUUAUCUUUUUCUUCUUUUUUUUCAAUUUUUUUUUUAAUGAUUUAACAGAAAAUUGGAUGAAAUGUUGAGAUGUAGACGGCAGGGGGAAAAUUGGCGAAAAAAAAGUGCAUAUCCUUAAUUUUCUAAAAAAAAAGAAUAGGGAGUUAAUCAAAAAUUAGGUACAAGUUCAGGGGGCAAAUCACUAGUAUACCCUUACUAUUAUAUAUAUAUAUAUAUAUAUACCUUUUGCAGUGGCAGAGUAGCCACUUUUUUUUUUUUUUUUUUUAAUAGAAACAUUGUGUUGAUAAUCAAGAGGAAAAACUCCUCGAUCAAGCAACAAAAACUAAAAUAAAAAGUGUCUGACCUACUAAGAUUGAAAAUAAUUCUGUAAUUAAAAAAAAACACAAAACUUCAGUAAAAUCAUCUUAAGACUGCCAUCAUGUCUCUCAUGAUGGUAGAGUAGUGAUAAUCCUUGAACUGCCCCGAAACCGAAGCCCAAAGAGAUGCCCAAAAUUUAAUUCUAUCCCAUAAUUCCUCAACCCUUACUCCUAUCAAUCAUUUUCCAUAUUAGUUUUUAUUAUUUCUCUCAUGUUUUCCAUGAUCGCUUUCAUUAUUAUAAAUAAAAAAAGUACUGAAAACUAUAAAUGAAAGUUACCAAACAGCCUGUAGGUAUUAUUGGAAAACUGAACAAAGUGGCCAUUGGGUUUAGCCGCUGGCCCAAAAUACAGAUGUGGGAAUUCUGCUACCCUGUCUUGCCCAAUGUGGGAGUUGGGUGUUCUUUAUUGUUAAAUUUCUAUUAUUGAAGUAAGUGUGCAUCAGUGCUUGCAUUCAGUUGUGCCAGGGUCCUCGUGGAUGACACUACUUUUCUAUCUAGCAACGAAUAUGGAUGGGUUAAUUUGUUUUAUGUGUUGGAUUGUUUUUGUGAAGCAUCAGGUCUGAAACUGAAUAAGAUUAAAUGCUCUUUAAUGGGAAUUAAUAUGGAGGAAGGUGUUAAAUAACUUGCACGCUAGCUCUUGUUUUUUAAUGUAACCAACGGCAAUAGACUAAACUAGCAAAUAUUAGAAAACUUAGAAACACAAGAAUUAUACUGGUUCGGCAGAACUUUUGCUUUCGUCCAGUUGUGACUUCUCUAGAUAGAGAAAUCACCUCUCUUUUGAUUAAUAAUAGAGAUUACAGAACUUUUGCAACCCUAGAACUAAUCUCAAAACUCUCGGCUGUCUCUCGCUGUUUUUCCACACCUAAAAUAAGCCUUGCCGCACCCUAUUAUAGAUAUAGAGUUGACUUACAUGUCCCAAGGCUGAUUAAAUUCCUAUUUCUAAGUGGAUUAGGAAAUUACACUUAUCCAAAUCCAAAUAGAUUGCUAGAAAUCCAAAACUAAAUUGAAUAAGGAAAACUGAAAUUCUAAUCACUCUACAAGAAUCGAUAUACCUCUAAUUUUUCUUAAACAAUCCUAAACCAAUUAGGACAUAUUUGACGAGCCAAAAUCCUAACAAUCUCCACCUUGGUGAGUCAAACCAAGUCUUGAUCGUUGCACCCCAGAGUAUCUUUGAACCUUCUUGAAGCAGCUUUGGAAAUCUUCAAGGGUCUUCACCUUGGCAAUCUUCUUCUUGCCUCAUUGCAGCUCAAGUGAGGAGGUGCUCCACUUUAAUCAAUCAACGAGAUUGAUCAAGUUCAAGCAAUGCUUGAACUUCUUGGCCGACACUAUCUUUGUAAGAAAAUCUGCGGCAUUGUCAUCCGUACGAAUCUUUUCAAUCCAAAUCUCCUUAGACUUCACUCAAUUUCUGGUUCUGUGAUAUCUUGCUUCAAUGUGCUUUGAUCUUCCAGAAAAAACUUGAUUCUUUGCCAAGUGAAUGGCACUUUGACUAUCACACUUCAACUUCACACAAUCUUGGGUGUUUCCUAUUUGACUUAACAAGCCACUAAGCCAAAUUGUUUCCUUUCCAGCUUCGGCCAAUGCAAUAUACUCUGUCUCUAUGGUCGACAAAGCUGUAAUUAGUUGCAGUAGUGCCCUCCAACUGAUUGGUCCUCAUGCGCGUGUAAACACACAAACAGAAGUUGACCUUCUCUUAUCCAAGUCCCCUGCAUAAUCGGCAUCCACAUAUCCCAACACCCCUGCAUUUUCUUUUUGCUUCUCAAACAUAAUCCUUUGUCGCCAAGAAUCCUUCAAAUAACACAAAAUCCACUUGACUGCAUCCCAAUGUUGCUUUCCUGGAUUUGCCAUGUAUCUGGAAACAACAGUGAUUGCUUGAGCUAUGUCGAGAAGUGUGCAUACCAUUGCACACAUAAGGCAGCCCACGACAUUAGCAUAAGGCACCUUCUCCAUUACUUGCUGCUCUUCCUCGGACUUAGGACACUGUUGUCCACUUAACUUGAAGUGAGCUGCCAAAGGAGUCGAGACUACCUUUGCUUCUUGCAUGUUGAACUUCUCAAGUACAUUCUGCAUAUACUUGGCUUGUGAUAUCCAGAUCCUUCCAGCGGUCCUAUCUCUCUGAAUUUCCAUGCCAAGGAUCUUUUGCGCUGCACCUAGAUCCUUCAUUCCGAACUCCUCGUGCAACAUGUGUAAGUCUUGAAUUCUAGACUUGUCUUGACAAGCGAUUAGCAUGUCAUCCACAUAUAGCAACAGCAAUGACAAUAUGAUCAUCCCAUCUUGGAACACAUGAUAGUACACGCAACAGUCAUAUAAACAUCUUCUAAAAUUGAUUUUCAGCAUGAAGUAAUCGAAUCUCUUGUACCACUGUCUUGGAGACUAUUUCAGGCCAUACAGUGACUUCCUUAGUUGACAUACUAGAUUCUCUUUCCCAUAUUCAACAAACCCUUAUGGUUGAGCCAUGAAAAUUGUUUCCUCUAGAUUCUCGUGGAGAAACGAUGUCUUCCCAUCCAUCUGCUCAAUCUCCAUGUCAUGCUGAGUUGCCAUUGCUAAAAGUAAUCUAAUAGAAGUAUGCUUGACUACGAGUGAAAGAUCUCAUCAUAAUCCACCCCUUCCUUUUGUGAGUACCUUUUAACCACGAGCCUGCCUUUGAAUCUCACGGCAUCUUGUUCAUGUAGUCCUUCCUUUUUCCUAAAUACCCAUUUGCAUCCCACUAGCUUUCUGCCUUUGGGCUUAGGAACCAACUCCCAAAUAGAGUUUGUGUAAAGAGACUCCAUUUCUUCUGUCAUAGCACUUAUCCAACUAUCUCGCUCAUCACUUGUUAUUGCUUCUCAAUAAGUAGUUGGAUCUCUUUGACUAAUUUUGAGAGCGUAAUUAACUUCAUCUUGGUUAAACCCAAACCUGUUAGGUUUCUUCUUGUUUCAAUUAGGUUUGUCUGGUGCUAUGCAUCUCUGGAAUGCAGGUGGAUUGUUGGUUAGAGUUCGAACCCUUUGGGAUGUUUGGUGGAUUAUAAUGCCUUCAAACUGUCUUGUUUCUGGCUCCACUUGAUUCCUAACUGUUGAACGAUGUUGAUGCUAUUCUUCCUCAAAACCAUCAAAUUCGGCAUCUUGCUCAAUUUGCUCCACCUGAGCUUAUUCUUCGUCUAAAUUGAUUAAUGGAACUUUUGUUGCUUCAAUUUUAGCAUCGUCUUUCUUCUCCCUACUACUCUCGACUUUAUUCAGAGGCAUGGUUGUCUCAUCAAAGACAUCAUCUCGGCUGACAACCUUUUUCCUAUUGUUGAUAUCCUAAAGCUUGAACUCUUUCACUCCUUUCUCAAAACCUAAAAAUAUGCAAUGUGUAGACUUUGGUUUGAGCUUGGACCUUUCAUCACUUGGAAUAUGUGCGUAAGCACUAUAGCCGAAUACCUUGAGCUUGGAAUAGUCCACCGGCUUCUCAGACCAUACCUCUUCUGCACUAUUAAAAUCAAGAACUGUAGAUGAGGAUCUGUUAAUUAAAUAACUUGCAUGAUUAACAGCCUUUGUCCAAAAACUAUCAGGCAAUCUUGCAUGAAAUUGCAUGCUCCUCUCUCUCCAUGAGAGUUCGGUUCAUCCUCUCAGCAACUCCAUUUUGUUGGGGAUUAUUCUUUACUGUGAAGUGCCUUAUGAUGCCUUCCUACUUGCACUAAUCGGUAAACUCAUUAUUUGUAUAUUCACCUCCAUUGUCACUUCUCAGGUACUUGAUCUUUCUUCCAGUUUGAUUCUCGAUUUCUGUUUUCCAUUUCUUGAACUGUGCAAAAACCUCAUAUUUCUGCUUCAUGAAAUAAAUCCAAACCUUCUUAGAAAAAUCAUCCAUGAAAGUAACAAAAUACCUAGCUCCAUUUGAUUUGGUUGGUGCAGGGCCCCAAACAUCUAAGUGAAUAUAGCUGAGUUGCUCCUUGCUUUGGUUAUCUGCAUUACUACUCGUGAAUGAUACCUUCCUUUGCGUUCCAAGAACAAAAUAUUCACAGAAGUCCAGUUUGCAAGAUGACAUGCCUUCCACAGGCCUUGCUUGUGUAAUUCUUGCAGCCCUUUCUGGCUUAUGUGCCCAAGCUUUUGAUGCUAGAGUUCAGUCUUGUCUUUUAUAUCUUGAUUUACAGAAACAACUGCUCCCCCGACUAUAGUGGUCUCAAUUAAUUUAUACAGCUUAUUAGGUUGUAGGUUACCCCACAUUACCACCAGUGAUCCUUUGGCUACCCUGAGUCUUCCCUUUUUAGACUUGUACCUAUAGCCGACCUCAUCUAAAGUACCCAAGGAAAUCAAAUUCUUUCUUAGUCUGGGGACAUAUCUAAUGUUCCCCAAAACUCAUAUCAUCCCAUCAAACAUUCUGAUUCGAACAGUGUCGAUUCAUUUUACAUUCAUGAAGAAUCGUCCCCCAUUAAAACUUCCCCGCUGCUGACUUCUUUGUAAGUUUCAACCCAUUCUCUUACUGCACACAUGAAAAGUGCAUCAGGUAUUCAAAAUCCAAUUUGUGAAAGCCUUGGAGCUUGAUGUUAUUGAAAGAAGCUCCCCGUCACUCUCAUGCUCAGUGACUGCACUAGCUGAACCUGAGCUUCCUUCCAACUUGGCUUUCUUCUCUUUCCAAAUCUUGCAGUUCCUCCACCAAUGAUCAGCUGAACCACAUUCGAAGCAACCUUCUUUUCCUUUUUCUUCUUGAAUUUUGACCUACCUCUGUUGCCUGUUUUCUCUUCCUUUGUCUUUUCACGCCCCCUCUCCUUGCCUUUGGCAUAAAGGCCUUGAGAGCUUUCAGUUAUAUCAUCUAGUUUAGCAUAUGACUGAAGAGCUUGAAUUAUGUCUUCAAGCUUCAGGGACUCAUUUCCAAACAUUAGAGUUGUUCGUAAGUGCUUGAAAGACGAAGAUAGAGAGCUCAGCAAGAUGAUAGCCAUAUCAUCAUCUUUGUAAGUUUUUUCAACCUUUUGAAGAUUAGUUAUGCAAUUCUGGAACCUGCAUAUGUGAUCUUCAAUAUCGCCUCCUUCUUCCAGUCGAAGUCCAAAUAGUUCAUCCUUCAAAAAAAGUUUAUUGGACACGGUUUUGCCCAUAUAAACAUUCUCCAACUUUUCCCAUGCUUUAUGGGCAGUCAUCUUUUCGGUGAUGUGUGACUGAACUAAUCUUGUGAGAUGGAUCUCGAUGGAAUUCUUGGCCUUCUUGAGAACCUUAGUCCAUGCUGCAUCUAUCAUGCUUGCCGGCUUCUCAUCGUUGAGUGCAUCAUCCAAAUCUUGCUGUAUCAGUACGUUCUUCAUCAUCCUUUGCCAGUCCGUGAAGUCAUCCUUGCCGUCAAAGGGCUUUAACUCAGGUCCUAAAUCCGCAUUCAUCUUCCCUUUAGACAUUGUAGAACCCCUUGAACCUGGCUCUGAUACCAAUUGUUAAAUAACCCGCACACUAGAUCUUGUUCUUUAAUGUAACUAACGGCAAUAGACUAAACUAGCAAAUAUUAAAAAACUUAAAAACACAUAAGAAUUAUACUGGUUUGGCAAAAAUUUUGCUUACGUCCAAUUGUGAUUUCUCUUCUAGAGAAAUCACCACUCCUUUGAUUAUAAUAGAGAUUACAUAACUUUUGCAACCCUAGAACUAAUCUCAAAACUCUCGGCUGUCUCUCGCUGUUUUUCCACACCUAAAAUAAGCCUUGCCGCACUCUAUUUAUAGAUAUAGAGUUGGCUUACAUGUCUCAAGGCUGAUUGAAUUCCUAUUUCUAAGUGGAUUAGGAAAUUACACUUAUCCAAAUCCAAAUAGACUAAUAGAAAUCGAAAAUUAAAUUGAAUAAGGAAAACUGAAAUUCUUUCCUAAUCCCUCUAGGACAAGAAUCGGUAUACCUCUAAUUUUCCUAAAACAAUCCUAAACCAAAUAGGACAUAUUUGACGUGCCACAAUCCUAACAUAAGGAAAAUUAGAAAGACUGGCUAAUUUGUGGGGAUGCAGAGUUGGUUUGUGGCCCGUUAAAUAUUUGGGACUUCCUAUGGGAGAAAAUCCAAGAGCCGAAACUUUCUGGAAUCCGGUCAUCGAAAAAGUUGAGAAAAUAUUGCAAAGAUGGAAAUCAACAUUCCUUUGAAGAGGGUGCAGAUUGACUUUGAUUCAAUCUGUCCUCGGAAGUUUUCUAACCUACUUUUUGUCUCUUUUCAAGAUUCCAAAAGGAGUGGCUAGCAAACUGGAAAGACUGAUUCGGAAUUUGUUUUGAGAAGGUGUGGGUGAUGGUAAGAAGGAUCAUCUUAUUAUAUGGGAAGUGGUUUCUCGGCCAGAAGAGAAGGGAGGUCUGGGUAUUGGCAAUCUGCUAGUCAAAAAUAAGGCAUUGCUGGGGAAAUGGCUUCGGCGAUUUCCACUUGAAAGAGAAUCCCUUUGGCAUGCAGUGAUUAGAAGCAAGCACGGGCUUAGCUAAAAUGGCUGGGAUACCAAGAUAGUUAUGAAAGCUUCAAGUAGAAAUCCUUGGAAAGAUAUAUCAAGUUUAUAGUUCUUUUUUAGGGUGUCGUCAGUUUGGGGUGGGAAGAAGGGAUAGAAUUAAGUUUUGGGAAGAUGUGUGGUUGGGAGAAAGCUCUUUGCAAAACUUAUUUUCCAGACUUUAUAAUUUGUCUAGAUAUCACAACAAGAAUAUUUCCAGUCUUUUGAAUUCUAUUACUGCACCCUUUGAAGUGGGACUUUGGUUUUCGAAGGAAUCUGUGAGAUGUUGAGUUAGGGUAGUUAUCAUCUUUUAUAUCAAGAUUGGAAUGGGUUCGGCUCCACCGCUCAAGGGCUGACACGAGAAAUUGACGUCUUGAUGCUGCAGGGAAUUAUUCCUUUAAAUCUUCCGUUGUUUUCUGCUUAACAAUGAGGUAGAUGACGUGUUCCAGCCAUACAGAUUGAAUUGGAAGUCUAAACCAGACCACCACCCCCAACUCUCUCCCCCUGCGAAGUGAACGGUUUUACUGGGUUUUUGGCUCAUGGGAAGGUCAACACUUGUGACAUGAUUCAAAGGAGACCAAAUUCCUGCCUUUGCCCCUCAAUGUCAGAGAAGCAUAAAUCCAAAAAAGGGGAAGAAAGCCAAGGUUUUAUGGGGAUGCAUUGUAUUGGCUGUUUUUUGAAGACUAUACUUGUCGCGAAAGAGAGGAGUUAUGGGAGAAAGUUAGAUUAUGGUCUUCACUAUGGGCAUCAAUUUCUACAGACUAGGAGAUUUAUCUGUUUGGAUUAUUUGGCUAGAUUGGAAAGCAGCCAUUCGCUAGUUUUCCAUGUUUUCUUUUGCUAGAAGUUUAGGAGCUUGUUUCAUCUAGCUGUUAUAUCUCUGUUUAGUUUUCUUUUUGUGGCCAUCUUGGCCACCACUGUAUUUUAUUGUUUUAUGCAAUAAAAUUUUGUUUCUUAAAAAAAACAUAAAAGUUGUGGCAGGGUCCUGUUUUAUUUAAAGGUUUGAAUUUCAUAAGAAAAGUCUUGAUAAUUUGUGAUAAGAAAUUAUAGUAUGCAUUUUUCCACAUAUUUCUCGUGGUUUAACAAAAGUAUAAGAAAUUAUAGUAUGCAUUUUUCCACAUAUUUCUCGUGGUUUAACAAAAGUUGUGAUUCACUUUCCUUUAUUUUCAGGUUCAGAUUCUGAACUUGAUUUCUAUUCUUAUUGGACACAUGAGCGAAGUUAUGCCAUUUGCAAACAAGCUAAUUCUAUUUUUUCAGAAGGUAUGAGAACAUUUAUUUUGUCUUCAGUCUUCUAUUGUUUCUUCUACUGUUCUAAAUGUCACAGUACCUAAUGUACUAGAAAGGAAUGAUUUUUAAAAUUGAUUUUGGAAAAACAUGCGAUACUGUUGAGUAACUUGGUUGUUUAAAAGUACACAACAGAUAGGCAAGCAGAAUGCUUUGAUUUCUCUCUCUCUCCCUCUCUCUGCCUCACACGCACACACACAUUUGAUAAGUCUUUUCUUUUGUUUCUUUGCAAAGGUUUGGGAGGAAUCUUCCGGUGAAUGUCUUCUGCAGAUUCAACUUCUUGUUGCUUUGAGAAACUUUGUGGUUGCACUUGGCUACCAGUCGCCAAUUUGCUAUGACAUAUUGCUGCCUAUUCUGCAAAAGGGAAUUGAUAUAGAUAGCCCGGAUGAACUCAAUCUUCUAGAGGACAGCAUGCUGGUUUGCCUAUUUAAGUUUGUCUUUAAUAUUUUACCAGCCGACAUUAUCAUUGUAAUUUUCAUGCUAAAUGCAGUUAGCUUAAUGUGCAGUUAUGGGAAGCCACACUUUCUCAUGCUCCUUCAAUGGUGCCUCAACUACUAGCAUACUUCCCAUGUGUAGUAAAAAUCAUGGAAAGAAGUUUCGAUCACUUGCAGGUUAGAAAUUUUGAUCCUGCAGGGCCUGUCUGUUCUGCAUAUUUUCUGGUCUUAUUGUUCUGGAACUUGUCUGAUAUUGUGUGUUAUUUUAUCAUUUAACUCCACUCUCAAUCUGCCAACCCAUGGAUGCUUAGUAUAGCGUGGGGUACACUGGUAUUAGUUGCACUAUAAUUAACUAGUUAUAGUAAUAACCAUUUGCAUUGGUUUUGAAAAUUUAGAGACAGGUUUACAUGUUUGUGCAUUAUCAACAUAUCAAAAAACUUUUUAACUUUUAUGAGAAACAAGGACUUCAUUAAAGUCGAUAAGUUACAAAAUAGUGUGUUGUGGUGGAUAUUGUCCACCAUCUAGACAGCAUACAAGACAACAUCUCUUAGUAUUGUUUUCAAAGGCGCCUCGCUCACCUUAUUGAGGAAGACGUAUGCUUCUGGAUAAAAGGUGAGCCACACACACCUUGAGGACCCUCUGGGAACUUUUUUGUUUUUUUUGUUUUAAAGAACAUGAAGACCCCACUCCACUCCUGGAGUUAAUCAGAUCUUCUCCAGGUCUUCUUCUCUUGGUUUCUUCUUCGGACCUUCUUCUUCUAAGGGGUCUUCUUCUCUGGGUUAUCUUCAUCUAUGGGUCUUCUCCUCGGUUUCAAAAUCAGGGGGAGUUUGGGUUAUGUCUUUUGAGUUUCUUAGUUUCUUAGUUUUGCAUAGGGGCAGUUCAGAUGUGGUAGUGAUGUAUUCUUAUCAGUUUAAUGAAGUUGAUGUGUGGCUAUCACGAAGGCAACGUAGCAGCUGUAUCAUAUUAUCAAGAAAAUCAGUUUUACAAAAAAAAAAAAAAAAAAAAAGGAAAUAGCAUGCGCACUAAUAAACAUAAUAUGUGGACUGAAAUAUUAAUAGAGAAAGACUAAGCAAAAUACGAAAAGACUGCUGGUAAUAAAAGACUUAUAAUAAAUUUUAAAAGGAAAAAAAUACUUGUGAUGAAAUAUAAAAGUUCUCACAAAUUAUCUGCAAUUUGUACUAAUUAUAAUUACAAAUUAUAACUUUUCCCUAGAACUUCCCCCAAAAGUCUCAAUCAAUAACAAUACGCAUGACGCUUAAAUAACCCAAUUCACUCUCACUACUCCAACUCAAAGGAGAAGAGGGGACUGAUGUGAAAAGGAUAUACAUAUGGGAGAUUCUCUUAACUAGUUAUGUUCCAGAAAUAUGAAUCUCCCCAUUCCCCACAAUGAGACUAAUAUUUUGAGAAAACAAGUCAACUCCUUGCGAUAUGUUCUUCCAAGGCCUCCUACAAGACCUCUGCUUAUCAAAUUAGAGUGCCAUUCAUUAGCUUCAAGACUAUAUCUGCUUUGAAUGAUUGUGUUUCAGUGAAUCCCACUCCAGAGGAAAUCUCUAAAGGUCAGUUAGGCUGGCACAAGAACGCCACUGGCCUGCAGAAUUAAAAUGGGCAUGCCACGGCUUGAGCAUCAAGUCGGCAGGGAGUGGGCACCCAUGUUGUACUAGGUUGAGAUAUUUGGCCCAUCAGAUACGACUUGAAAUGGUCCCGUGUUAGGAAAGAGCAAAAAGGGUCUCGUGCCAAUAACACGCAUGAAACCAUGUACUAAGCACAACCCGUUUAACAUUAUCAAAUAAAUCACAACUCUAUAACAAGUGCCAUUGUUUAAUCUGAUGAAUCUCAUAACCACCAGCUUGGUAUAAUUACUUUGUUUUCAGUGUUUUCUUUUCUAUAAUUUCAGAAGUCAAUAAUGUAUCAAAUGUUUUGUUUUAUUGACUAUGUUUUUUUUUAAGAAGAUGAACGAUUUUAUUAACGAACAAACAAAGGAAGUACACAAACGGGAACAAAGAACAUUAAGACCUAUGAAGCUAUAGGCCCCCCCAAAGAUACAGAACUAAGAGGCUACAAUACCCAGCACAACACUAAGACAGAAAGAGAUAGAAAUACAGAAAGAGAUUACAGCACAGCAGCUACUAAAUCCCGCACUAUAUAGGAGUAGGAAUAAUCCUUGAAUGCCGUCGUAAUGGAUGCCCAUAGUGCCGCCCAGAAUUUGACUCUCUCCCAAAUCUCUAACUCACUCCCGCCGCUGUAAUCAUCGAAAAUCAUUCUAUUUCUCUCAUGCCAAAUAUUCCAGAGCAGCGAAUGCCCUAGACAACCCCAUAAAAUUAAGGCCUUCUUUCCCUUACAAAGGGCAUCCAACCGAGUACUGAUUAGGGAGAAACAAUCCUUAGGUAUUACCCAGAUGGCCUUAACCUCCCUUAUUAAGGACCACCACAGGUUUAGAGAGAAGGGACAGUGUAAGAACAGAUGAUCUGCAUUUUCCUCAUGCCCCUUGCAAAGAACACACCAAUGGGGAGACAGACACAUAUACGGACGUCUCCUUUGAAUCAUGUCACACGUAUUGGCUUUCCCAAGGUAACCAACCAAAGAAAAACUUUAACCUUAGGCGGAGAACUGGUUUUCCAGAUAAGGGGGUGCGGGGGAAACGUGUCCACUAAACCAUUAGAAUGAAGAUAUGACGAAUAUGAUUUGCAAGAGAACACGCCAGAUUCAUCAAGCAGCCACCUUCUCCCAUCCGACCUAGCUCUAGAUAAUCUGACAUGCCCUAGGAUACCCAACAAACUUAUAGCUUCAUCUAACUCCCUGUCAUUCAGGUUUCUUCUGAACCCAAAAUCCCAAUUAACAGGAACGGAGUUGUUAUCCACAAAAUGUGAAAUGCUUAGUAGUUGUUUUGUGGACACCGCAAACAAUCUAGGAAAUAGAUUCUUUAGCACUCCUUCGUUCACCCAUGAAUCCUCCCAAAAUCUCACUCUUUUUCCAUUGCCGACCACCAAGCUACAACAUUCAUGAAAGGUCUGGUACCCAUAAGAGAUGUCCUUCCAAGGGUUACAUGAGGAACCAAUAGUACCAGAUUUAGCAUCCCAACCAUUCGAAGACGUCCCGUAUUUGCUUUUAGUGAUAUUAUUCCACAAAGACCGAGGCUCCAGCGGGAAUUGCCACAACCAUUUAGCCAUCAAAGCUUCAUUUUUUUCUUUCAAAGCCCCCGCACCCAAACUGCCUUGCAGCGUAGGUUUGGCACAAUAUCCCACUUUCCCAAAUGGUCCCUCUUUCCUUCUUCCGUACCUUCCCAAAGAAAGUUUCUCAUAAUCAUCUCCACCUUUUUUAUCACCCGAUUAGGCAUCUUGAAAAGGGACAUGAAGUACGUAGGCAUGUUACUUAACACUGCCUGAAUCAGAGUUAAUCUUCCACCUUUUGAUAAGAAGGCUUUUUUUCCAUUUUUCAAGUCUUGUUUCAAUCUGCUCUAUUAUUGGUUCCCAGAAAACAAUAGCUCUAGGAUUUCCACCAAGAGGGAGUCCCAGAUAAGUCAUACGCCAGUUUCCUACCUCGUAUCCCCAAUCAGCGGCCAACCUUGCCAAAUAAGGUCCGCUACAGUUAAUUCCCAAUACUGAAGAUUUAGAGCUAUUGAUUUUCAUACCAGAAGCCAAACAAAAGUUAUCAAGCAGGUCAAGAAGGUUAAACCAAUAGUCCUCCUUGUCAUCCAGAAAGAAGAUGGUGUCAUCUUGUAGAUGAGACACCUCAACUCGAUCACGUCCACUGUGGAUCAAAUUAUGAUGUUGUGCUGCUUCCAAAAGGCAGCUCAGCACGUCAAUCACCAGAGUGAACAGAAAAGACGAUAAUGGAUCUCCUUGCCUCACCCCUCUAGAAACCUUAAAUUUGCCUCGUGGCUUCCCAUUUAUCAUGAUUUAGAAAUUAACAGAAUCUAAGCACCCUCUCACCCACUUUCUCCAUCUUGAUCCGAAUCCUUUUCUGACCAGAACUUCAUCUAAGAAAAUCCACUCUACGUGGUCAUAAGCCUUCUCAAAGUCAAUUUUGAAGACUAGCCCAGAUUUAUUAAGCUUUUUGGUCUAUCCACUCUACGUGGUCAUAAGCCUUCUCAAAGUCAAUUUUGAAGACUAGCCCAGAUUUAUUAAGCUUUUUGGUCUCCUCAACGACUUUGUUUGCCACCAAUACUGCAUCCAAAAUCUGGUUUUAUUGACUAUGUUAUCAUGUAUGUUAUUUUCAUUCAUCAUUUUAUCAAACAACAACUUUGGAAAUAGGUCAAGUGAUUUCACAUCUUUAGAAAUCUCUUCAACCACUUGCUUACCAAAGCCACAUUCCUCUUAAUCAAAUUUCCAGCUCCUAUGCCUCCUAUUACUUGGGAAUUGUACUUACAAAGUUUGGUACAUGGUUAUGAUUUUUUGACUGGAAACAUAUUGUAAUACAUGGAGACGAGGGUAAAACCAAAAUUACUCUGUUGGAGCAUUUUUUUUCCUUCAAUUCUUGUCAUUUAGUCCACGUGGCAAUUUGACAUCCCCUUUGGUGAUGCUCUUAUUGCUGGCCUGUAUAACAGAAUUGGAUAUAGAGAUACUCCACUUUUGAAAUUUCCAUUUGAUUGGAAUCUAAGGACCAUAUCAUAUUUGCCAAGCAAAGGACACCUUCAGGAAAAGCAUAACCGAAGUUGGUAGAACGGUUUUCUUGAAGAAUAACGUAAAGCAGGGUUUAAUGGAUAUUCUGAUGACAAGAAAUUUGACAUUGUUUCCAUCAGUGUAGUCCAAUAUUGAUUUUGUUAUUUUGUGAAUUGCAAAGAUGUAUCCCUGACCUUUUUUCUUGAAGUGGAUUAUAUUUAAAUUAAAAUGACUUUUCUAUGUUUACAUUGCUGGUAAGGGCUGCUGUUCUCCAUUUGUUCAAUGCUAAUUUUUUAUCUCCAUGUUAUUAAUAACUUGUUUUACUAAGUAAUACUCAAACUGAAUCUAAACCACAUUACUUAUGCAAACCAAGUAUUAGGAUUGGUUUUUUCACAUGGUUGUAGAUCUCUGUAUUAGUUUUCUUGUUUCUUUCUGUUAUUGGUGGAUUACUUGUCCAAUUUUCUGUAUGGUGUUUUUUAUGAAAUAUAAUUUCUCCUUUUCAAAAAAAAAAAAAGAAAAAAAAAUCUUGCUAACUAUACGGGAGUCCUAUUUGAGUAGCUGUCUUCUCUUCAGUUGCAUAUCAUGGGAAAAUCUGUUGCUCGAUUAGUUGUAGAGAUUCCAAUGUAAUUAUAGCUGCAUUAUCUUCAUUUCUUGGUUUUUGUUUGCUCCAAUCUUUUCCCAAAAAAUUUAUAUGUUAGAAGUUUUUCUUCUCUCUCUCUCCCCCUCUUUUUCUCGGCAUUUAUUCUGUUAUGCUUUGUUAUGUUUGUACUUUAUAAUAUCUUAACUCAAACUUCAUUGCAGAUUGCUGUCAGUAUAACUGAGGAUUACAUUAUCUUAGGCGGAUCUGAAUUUCUAAGUAUACAUGCUUCAAGUGUUGCUCAAAUUCUAGAUCUGGUUGUUGGAAAUGUCAAUGAUAGAGGACUACUUUCAACUCUUCCUGUCAUUGAUAUUCUAAUACAGGUACUGAUCAAAACUUGCAAGUGAAGAUUAGACAGUAGAAUAACAGGCCAUUUAGACAACUCGGGGAAUCAACUAUGCCUUUCUAAUUGUCCUAUUAAUACAUGCUUCGUCUACUCCUAAACACUGAGAAAGUUGGAACUGCCAAAGCUUUCAACUUGUACAGAAUUUCGAGUUAUUAUGUUAUAGACACGUUUUUCUAUAGAUUGCUUAAACAAAUAAUCUUUUAUGCUCUUAGAACUGGCACUAUUAUGAUAGACCUCAAUAUAUUCGUCCUUUUAAAUACCAACUCGUUUUUGUUGCUUUGCAGUGUUUCCCGUUAGAAGUGCCCCAGUUGAUCAGCAGUACAUUACAAGUGAGGUCCUUUGCUCUUAGAUCUUUGAUAAUCUUAUUUUGAAGUAUUUCAUUUUUUUUCCCCAAGAAAGAAUUUAUAUAAUGUUAUGCCUUUGGGAGCCCUUCUUAAAGCUAGAAUUCCUUUCUGUUCAAUGUUGCUAGAAAUUAAUUGUUAUAUGUUUGAGUGGAGGCGACGACCAAGAUCCUUCUAAGACAGCUGUUAAAGCAUCUUCAGCUGCCAUCCUGGCAAGAAUUUUGGUCAUGAAUACCAAUUACCUAGCCCAUUUGACAUCAGAACCAUCACUUCUGUUGCUCCUUCAGAGUUCGGGUAUCCCAACUGAGGAAAAUGUACUUCUUUGUCUUGUUAACAUAUGGCUUGACAAGGUUAGUACAGUACAACAUGCGUCUCUAUACAAGGAUACUUCUGAGGAUUGUUGAUUUUUCUCUCUUACUAUAUCCGACCAUUUGUAUCAUGCAUGUUCUGAGACACCAGUGUAGGGUGUUCUAUGAAUUUGCAAUAUAUAUUUUCAUGCAUAGGAGUGAGCUCUGUUCCGUUGGAUUCCCAUCUGAAACUGAUUCAAAAUUGUCACAACCCAGCACUAACCAAAAGCCAAGCCAACCCUGCCCAAUAAAAACAGGUCGCCAGGUCAGGUUGGGUAGCAAAUCAGUUUAUAAUAUAGGCUUUAAAUAAAAUAUAGGUUUAAAAAGAAUAACUUAAUGGGUCCAAGAGCCCAUACAAGCCCAACAAGAAAUUGCAAGAAACUUCGUUGGGCAGAAGACAGACAAGUAAAAGCUCCUAUAGGUGAAAUAUAACAUAGGCAUGCUUUUAACACCAAACACUGCCCAAAAACACAUUGCAAGAAACUUUGUUGUGCAGAAGACAAAUGAGUAAAAGAUCCUCUAGGUGAAAUAUAACAGAGGCAUGCUCUUAACACCAAACUCAGCGUAGAUGAGUUGGGCAAUUGGCAUCCUAAGACUGAACAAGUCCUAGGUUCCAUUACUAUCAAGCACAACGAUGGACUUUUCAAAAUCAUAUAAUGCUGUUUCAAGUUGAUGUAAUGUUGUUUCAAGUUUGUUAUUUUGGGUAUUAAAAUGACCUAAUCCGGCAAUGAGUAGACUUUUGUGGGUUGAAAACGUAUUGAUUCGAUUCAACUCGCCACGAUACAGAAAGCCAAACCAGACGGCUUGGGUUGGAUCAGACAGGUUUGUCUGGUGGGUCAGAUAAAAUGCCCACCCCUAGAGUGUGUGUGCAUUGUUUGUUUUUUAUGAGAACAAGACAUAUUGUUAUAACUCAGUAGUGCUUGUAGACAUUGUUCUUUCAGAGUCGAAUAUAUUUUAUAUAAAGUCGUUUUGCUCUAUAGUUAAUCGAAAGGAAUUAUUUCUGAAAUUAGUUUUUCAAAGUUUUUUUAUUUGUCCUCCCUCCACCCUUUUUCAUCUCUCCCUCUCCCAUAUAUUUCCUCCCUAUAUCUAACAAUAAAAAAUGAAACCUAAAAACGAAAAAGGUUACCAAACAGGCCAUUAAUUUUUCUGUAUUCUGUAAUAUAAUGUUAAAUUCUACAUUCAUAAUACAUUGUACAUUUAACGCAUUUUUGUUAAAUAUAUGAUUGUUGUAAUGUAUGUGGUCAAAAAUAUAUUUAUAGUGCCAAGGCAACCCUAAUAAGAGAUAAUGUGCUGUGCCAGAGAGCAUAGCAUAGCUCACUCCAGGUAUCGUUGUUUUGGAAGUUCUUGUGCUCUAUACAUGUUGAAGUGAAGAAUUAAAGCUGUUCUUAUGGAAAAUGAAUAAAUGGGAAUGAGCAGGAUUUCCUGUAAAUUAAUUUAUUAUUGCCUUUCUGGUGUGUUUGUCAAAAAAAAUUUAAAUUUUGGUCACAGGCAGACAAUGUAUCUUCCAUCCAAAGGAAGACGUAUGGCUUAGCUCUUUCUAUAAUUCUGACAUUAAGACUUCCUCAAGUCCUCAACAAACUUGAUCAGAUCCUGAGGUAUGAGUUUCACCAUGAAUUCGGUCAGUCAUCUCUUUUCUGAUUAUUGGAUGAUCUUUAUAAAAUGUUGCUUAUUUAUACACGCAGUGUGUGUACAACUGUAAUUUUGGGUGGCAAUGAUGACUUAACAGAGGAGUCAAGGUUAGAUCCCUUGUGAUUCUACUUUGAUUUGCUUGCCCAUAUCAAACAACUAUAUUUCUCAUAAAUUUUUCCCAAUCAACAACAGUGGUGAUAAUAUAACCUCCAGCGGAUCCCUUAGUAAGGGCACCAUUCCAAGUAAAGAAUUCAGAAGAAGACAGGUGAACCACCCUUCAUUCUUCUCCUUUGUGGUCCAUGGCACUCUUCUGAUAUUACCUGUGAUUGCUGUAGUCGCUGAUUAAAUAAAUUCAUGAGGUAAUAUUUUCCUGAUGAAGUUAUUAUAUCCCACUAUAGCUCAAGUUUUCAGACCCUAUCAACCAAAUGUCUCUAGACGCUUCAGUGAGGGAAAAUCUUCAGACAUGUGCUACCCUUCAUGGAGAAUCUUUUAAUAAGGCCAUUGGAUGCAUGCAUCCCUCAGCAUUUUCACAACUAAAGCAGGCAUUAAAGAUGGCAUAGCUGGCUUUCAUACCUUUUAUGUUUCCAAUUGAUUGGUGGUUUCGUGUUCAAGCCCUUCAUAUUUUCCUUUUUCUCCAAUGUGAAAACGAUAUGAGGUGAGUUCUUCAAUACUCGUAACCAUGCUAUGUCUAAAUAUCUCAGGGGAAAGGUAAAAAGGUAAACUUUUGGGUUGUGGCUGGGCAACACAAAGGAUUUUAGAAGGUGAACCUUCCCACCAAAAAGGUAGGAGAUAGCUAGGGGAAUGGAGGUAGCAUAUGUCCUUAAUGAAAUUGAGAAAGUAAAUAAUGUGUUAGCUCAUUAUUAUGUUAGAUGGGUUAAAUCAUCUAUUCAUCAAGAGUAUGCUUACUUUUAGCUAAAUUCAAAUUAUCAGAAUUGUGAUCUUUUUGAAAGAGCGGAACUUACCUCGGCCAUAGUUUAAAGACAUUAAUUUUCUCUUUUGAUGUAUUGUUCCAAUUGUAUUGAACGAGUACUGCUCGUGUUGUUAAUUAGUUCUCUCUGUGCACUGUCCACUGUGCGCAUACAUGGUUUUUGCAGUAUCUGACACAUGAUAAAUUUCUCUCCAGGUGAAUGAAGUUUGAAGCUUCCGGAUUGCUGGUCCCUAUAUUCAUUGGUUUUUAAAGUCUUUUGGGCUGGAUUUUGAUGUCCGAUUGUAUCUUGAAUUUCAUUUGCAUAUGCUCUCUUAGGCAACAAGAGACUGUAUAUAGCUUGUCAAUCUUUUGUCCUUGGAUGCACAGGGUUUUACGGCAUUGAUUCCAUUGUCAUAUGAAAUUGAAAAUUAUAGAAAUGAGAAAAAAAAAAUAAAAAAAAUACACGCAAAAGCAAUUCAUGAGCAACCAAUCUUUGAUAUCCCUUGUUAUUCAUUGCGUAGCAAAAACACUCCCAAGUUCAAAAAUUAAAAUCUUUUUAUGCUACAGCUAACUAAGUCUAACAUAGUGAAAAAGGAUCUUGACAUUGUUCUUUGGUCCAAACCUCCAUGGCACUUGUGUGUGUGAGAGAAAUCUAGUUUAAACCAUCGCUUGUAUUUUUUCUCUUUUUGAAUAAAACCCUUUUUAUGCUCUACUUUGAAUGUGGAAACUAUAUGGUGUUUUAAAAUGAAAGCUUCCUUAUUUUUUCUUCUUUUUAUUUUCUAAAUAUUUUAGUUUUUAAUAAUAAUAAUAAUAAUAAAUUAAAGGCUUAUUUACUGUUUCACCCCCUAAAACAAACGUUCGGUUUUACUUUACUCCCUUAAACUAAAAAUUUUCUCACUUAAUCCUUUGAAUUUCUAAAAAUUGCUGAAAUUUUCUCACUUUACCACUUCCAUCCACAAAAUUGUUAAGUAUGCUCAUGUGGUAUGGGCAUUCUAGUAAUUUUACUUAUCUUCUCUCUCUCUUUUCUCUCCCUCUGCCUCUCUCUUCUCUCCCCUCUCGAACCCAACCUCCAUUGCACCCCCCUCUCACCCUGUCCCCCUCGCCCCUCCUCCCUCUCCAUUGUUCUCUCUCCUCUAUGCCUCUUUCUCCUCACUACCUCUCUCUUCUCUCCCCUCCCCUCACCAUAACAAAACCCAACCCUCCAUGGAAUUACUCAACACACACAAAUCACCACCACUCAAAAAAAAAAAUUUAAAAAAAACAUCUCAACAAUCACUCCCCAUCUUCUAUCUUUGGAAGGAGGGGGUGGGGUGCAAUGGAGGUGAGAGAAGAGAGAUGCAAAUGGAGGGGAGGGGUUGGGAUGCGUUGGAGAUGCGCUGGGGGGUUGUGUCUAGGGAGGGGAGGGGAGGGGAGGGGAGAGGAGAAAGAGAUUGGGAGAAAAGAGGAGAUAAGAGGGAGGAAGGGGUGGGGUUGGGGUGCGAUGGAGGUUGGGUUCGGGAUGGGAGAGAAGAGAGAGGCAAAGGGAUAGAGGGAGAGAGAAGAUAAUGAGCAGAAUGCCCAUGUCACGUCAGCACACUUAACAAUUUUGUGGAUGGAAAUGGACGAUAGUGGUCAAGUAAUAAAAUUUUAGCAAUUUUUAGAGUUUCAAGGGGUUAAGUAAAAAAAUUUCAGUUUAGAAGACUAAAGUGAGACCAAGCAUCCGUUUCAGGAGGUGAAACAGUAAAUAAGCCUAAAUUAAAUAGUAAGUCACCUGAAAGACACAUAAUUUUUAGAUGGAAAAGUGGAUGAUGUUCAAAAAAUUUAACAAUAUGGACUAAAUUGACUGUUUUAAUAAAUUUAAGUGCUAAAUUAGCUGACUUUUUAAUUCAGAGAGUUAAAUUCGAUUAGAAUUAUACCUGGGGAUAAAACAGCUGAAAAUCCUUUCAAACAUUCAGUUGGAGUGUCGGGAAGAAGCAAAGGCACAAGCAGAGCAAGAGCAGGCCCGGGUGCAAAACAAAAACUGAUGGGUUGUGGGUGGAUUCGGUUUGAUGUGGAGCCCACGCGGAGAAUAAGUCAAUAUCUUCUGCUACAUUCAACUCUUCAUUUAAUUUCAACGCCUUCUCAAGUCAGACAGGGUAGCAUUGUGAAAUAUUUGGAAAAUUCCAAAUACGCGUGUGCUUGUGUCACUUAUUCGUGCUUACGACAGUUGUCCAUCGUAAUCUUCUUCUUCGUCUUCCAAGAGAAAAGUAGCAAUUAGUAAUCAAUUCCUGAAUUUCGUGAACGAUCCAAUAUCGAUUGACUCCUCUCUGAGAAAUCUGUUGUGAUAUAGAAGCAAGAACCUCUUAUCUUUCUAUGAUUGUCUGAGAAAUGAGUAAGAAGUCAGAAGAAACAGAAGCUUCAGCUUCCCGCAUCACUAGAGGAACCAGCUUCCUUGACAAGAUAAAGGUCUCUCUCUCUCUCUCUCUCUCUCUCUCUCUCUCUCUCUCUCUCUCUCUCUAUACUUGAUUUUGAUUGCUGAGAAUUGUUUCUAUUAUUUUACGUACAACUACUUCUGGAUGUUUACUUUCGAUCUCAACUUCACUUUAACUUAGAAUUCUUUGUCUCCUUGAAUUCAAUUUUAAUUACAGCUGCUGGCUUAUCCAUACCCUGCCCCGGAGUGCGUUUAUUAAUUACUAGGGUUUUACAAUUGCAAUCUAUGCUAAGCCCUAAGCUUCCCUUCUGUCCAAUUUGGCUUGCAGAAUGCUACAUGCCUUAAUUCUAUAACUAUUGUUUAUUCAUACUAUGGGCUAUAACUAUUGUUUAUUCAUACUAUGGGCUAUAACUAUUGUAGUUACAAAUCCCAUAUCCAGAGAUAUUUCCACCAUCCUGAUUCCUAAAAGAUUGAGAGCUAAUCAACCAUGCCGAGCGAGAAGUAGAAAGCCCCCAUUAGUUUGGUAUUACUGUGAUCAAUUUAGACUUAUCAUCAUAAUUUGUUUAAUUGGCAUUGCAGAGUGCUACAUGCCUUAAUUCGUCGUCUUCAGACUCAGGAAAAGGGAGAAGCAAGUCCUCUUCUAUCAGAGUGGCCCAUGGGUUCCAUUUAGUCCAAGGAAAAUCUGGUCAUGAUAUGGAGGACUACCAUGUUGCUGAGUACAGAAAAAGAAAAAACCACGUCCUUGGAUUGUUUGCUAUCUUCGAUGGUCAUUUAGGCGAUCGCGUCCCUACUUAUUUGAAAGAAAACCUUUUCAACAACAUAAUUGAAGAGGUAUACCUUCCCACCCAUUCCAUAUUCUUGUGUACGUACACAAAUAACAGACAAAAGAUAAAGAUAAAGAGUUUUGCUGCUUUCCUAAUAAUUUGAUUUAUCUUUCUGUUGUUUUUGUUUUUCAACUAUAACGCUUACGGUAGUAUUAAGAAUGUCAUUACUGGUAGCAUACUUAGUUGGUUAUCUUCCCCGUACAAUCAUGAUUUCUUUAUUUGAACUGAAAUUGUAAUCUGAAUUGUAACCAAGAUAGGAUUUAGCCCAUUCUCUGUCCUUGUCCAUGCAAUAUUUGUACUCAAAUAUUCAUACCAACUUUAGGUUUCUCGUUGCCUAGUGACUACUUAUAUUAAGUCAAUUACAAGACUCAGUAGUUCUUUCCUUAUCUGGUCAGUACAUUUGUAUUGAAAGCUGUAACUGUUGAUGCUCUCAAAUCACUUUAUUUGGUCAAUUUGUUUUUUUUCUUCUUUUAUGCAUAUGAUACAGCCCAGUUUCUGGAAAGACCCCGAGACAGCAAUAAGGAAUGCUUACUGCUCCACAGAUAAGUUUAUUUUAGAUCAUUCCAUGCAAUUAGGGCCAGGUGGGUCGACUGCAGUAACUGCAAUAGUCAUUGACGGCAAAGACUUAUGGGUCGCAAAUGUUGGUGACUCAAGAGCUGUUGUGUGUGAGAGGGGUUCUGCAACCCAACUUACUGUGGACCAUGAGCCACACAGUGAGCGAAGAAGGAUUGAGAAGCAGGGUGGUUUUGUGACUACUCUUCCGGGUAAAGAUAUUUAAGUUAAUUCAUUUAACCUUAUUACCGAGCUUGUUUAUAUAUCAGUAUAUAAUUGAUAGUGGGAUUCUUAAUUUCUUACCACUUGUAUAAUUUUUCUUUUGCUCUUGAGUAUAUAAUUAGAUUUUUUUUUUUCUUUCCUUACUUAGAUUAAUAUUCUAAUACUCUUUCAGGAGAUGUACCUAGAGUUAAUGGUCAACUUGCAGUUGCACGUGCUUUUGGGGAUCAAAGCCUUAAAGCACAUUUGAGUUCAGAGCCUGAUGUAAGACAUGUGCCCGUAGGCUCCACUAUUGAAUUUGUUAUAUUAGCAAGUGACGGAUUAUGGAAGGUCAGUUGGUAAUUAAUAAAUGGUCUUCUUUCCCUCUCUAUCGUAUCUUUAUGGCCUAGAUCAUAUAUUUGACAAUUUAGCAAGAUAAUGGAAUGUUUAGGCUUAAAUUUUUUGGAUUCUAUUGAAAAAAAAAUUUGAAUGUAGAAUAUUUGUAUUUUGAUUAGCAUUUUUUCCACUUUUCAAUUGCAUGUGAAAUGAGAUUAUCUUAUAAAUGAGACCCUGUGACUCUUACUCAUCUUAUAAUUUUUCCUUACUAUGUGCCAAAUAGUGUGUCUAAUAAUCUUUUUUGGUGAUUGUGAUUAUAUUGACUCGAUGCUAGAUUAUUAAUUGCUCAGUCAAAGGGAGGAAAAAGCUUCAGUGAAAAAAUGAAUUGAAUUUGUAGUAAACAUGGAAAAUGUGUAAUUAACUUAUUAGCACUAGGCAAAAGAUAGGCAGAAUUUUUUAUUUAUAACAUAUGUAAAUAAAAUGCAUAACCUUUUCUUGAUUUUCCUAUAGCUUUGAAUUAAUGAUUCAAGCUUUUCUGUGAAGCAAAAUUGUGUUGGGUGGUUCCUCCGUGCAUCUACAUUACUAUUUAUUGGGACCUUUUGCUCUUUUGGUUGAGGGAACGAUGCAAAGGUUUCAUGAGAUUGUAGAGUUUUGACCUUUUUUUUGGGUGGUCUAGUUGGAGAGAAAUAGCAGCAUCUGUGAAGGUAAAAAGUAGGGAGGGGGUGGAUUUUUUUUUUAUGGAAUAUGAUUAGAUUUUAGGCAUCCUUGUAGGUGUCACAUAUUGAGGAUUUGAAAGAUUGUCCUUCUUGCUGAAUGGGAAUGGGAUACAGCAGUUUUUAAGGUUAUUUUUCUGUUUUCUUUCUAUAAAAAUAAGUUAGAACUGUCUAAGAUGCAACAGCAAGGUGUUGUUUGCGAAGACAUAAUGCCAUUACCAUGUAGUAUCAAAACACCUUAGGCAUUACCAAUGCGGGAUUACCACAGUGGUUGUGGCCCUCCCCUUCCCCCCUGCUUGGCACCCAGGAUCGAAACCUAAGGGUUUCUUUCCUCCCCAUGUAACCAAAAAAAAAAAAAACACACCUUAGGCAUUUAAAGCCCUAUAGCAAUAAUGCUAUAAAUUUUCGGAGUGAGAAGGGUAAGAAUUAGCUAAAGGCUCUGUUUCGUUAGAUUUGUGUUUGCUUGAAUGGUUGAAAUUAGUUGAUUUGGAUAAAGUUUGUUGGUUUACCAUCAUUCCCAAACACUUAGGCUAUUUUGAUAUGGGCAGACAAUUAUUUCAUAUUCUAAACACCUUCUCCUCCAUUAGAGCCCAACAUGUGCAGUUCAACUUAAUAUUGUGACGUUGUAUUUUCAGGAAUCAAACUUAGGAUCCCCUAUAUUGACUAAUUAGUUCUUAAAAUUACAAUAAACCCAACUUCUUCUGACAAAAUUGCAAUUAAUCAUUACGUUGACUUUAGGAUACGUGUGUCGAUUGAUACGGAUAUCCAAAAGUCAAAUGGAUACGGAUUUGAAUUAUCGGACACAUAUCCAAGAAGUAUCGAGGGAGUAUUUGAGUAUCCAAUACAGACGUGUGGAUUUUUGGAGUAUCGGAGAAACGAAGGUGAUCUCCAAAAGGUAAAUAUGGAAGUUGGGUGGCUCCAGCGAAGAUUGGAUGAGAUCCUUAAGGCAAACUGGAGAAAGGAAAAUACACUACCAAUGAGAGAAGUUGUGGAACAGGAGUUUAGGUGUUUUAGAAAUUCCAUUGUGAGUAAUGCAUACUAGUGAUCUCUCUCUCUCAGGUUACCUAUAGCCCAACAUAACUGAUGCAGGACGCAUAGGACCUAAAUUUAUUAGUUUCCUAAUAUAUUUGUUAGUUUCCUAGAUUCUCUAGUUUUCCAAAUUCUAGUAGGAUUUCUACUUUUCCAGAUUUCCAGAUUUCUAGUUUUAAGUUUCCUAUUCUAUUUGGGUUAGGAUUUCUGUUUAAGCAAAGGAUUUUUAUCCUAUUAUGUCUAGGUUUUAGUUUACUAUAAAUACCCCAAUGUAGUUCUUUAAAAUUCAGAUUUGGAUGAGUAAACCUUCUCUUAAAACUAUAUGAUUUCUGUUCUUCCUUCUCGGUUCUCUGAUUUCGGUCAUUUCUUUCAUCCCUUCGAUCUAUAUUUUCGUCUCCUCAACCUCCUAUAUUCUUCUAUGUUAUAUUGUUUAAGUGUUUACUCUAAACCUACGGGUUGUUCUACAUCAAUUGGUAAUCAGAGCCUUCCUCACUUUCAUUUGCGUUUGAUCUCUGCCAUGGCACCCCAAACCGUGGCCAGCCUUGCGGAACAAUAUCAUGCGUUCCAAGACAAAGUUUCUGCCGAUAUUGCGGGCAUGGAAACCCAACUCUCAAACCUCAGCAGUGACCUCAAAGAAGAGUUGGUGCAGGCUCACAAACAUCGUGCAACAACAGACCUUGCCAUCAACAAACUCCAAGACUCCGUUCAGAUGCUUAUCAAUCACUUUCGGUUUGGAACGACUGAGCCUUCUUCUACCUCAGCGGUGCUCUCGAGUUCAUCUAUGCCGCCGCCAGAAGGUGGCCUUCUUCCCAAUCCACCGAUUGGUUCUCCUCUAGUUGACGAUAACAUUCCCGUCCCUACCCCGCCACCCCGACCACACAAGAACAACUUCAUGCACCGACAUUUUGAUUUUGAGAUAGCUUGACAUGCCACGCUAGGUGUUUUUCCUGCACCAAGGCACUCUGGCGACGACUUAUGAACACCAUGGAUUGAGGGUCUAUCACACCCACACAUGCACUUGCAUUCGUCGGCCAAUCAUGUUCGUCAUGGGUCUAGGCAGAGCUCUCUAUUUGCCAUUCUUACAAGAACUAAUGUUCCAGGCUUGCGGAACGGCUGGUUUCAAGGUGGCAAAUAUGAUGCCGAUUUUGAAGAACUAAAGAACGCCACACGCCUCUUCACACUUCCUUGGGAUUUUGAUUUUGUCGUUGUUUACUCGUCGGAGUCCGAGUUCUUUUCGGCGGAGGAGAAUGAUGCAGGACGCAUAGGACCUAAAUUCAUUAGUUUCCUAGAUUCUCUAGUUUUCCAAAUUCUAGUAGGAUUUCUAUUUUUCCACAUUUCUAGUUUUAAGUUUCCUAUUUUAUUUGGGUUAGGAUUUCUGUUUAAGCAAGGGAUUUUUAUCCUAUUAUGUCUAGGUUUUAGUUUACUAUAAAUACCCCCAUUGAGUAAACCUUCUCUGAAAACUAUGUGAUUUCUGUUCUUCCUUCUCGGUUCUCUGAUUUUGGUCCUUAUUUUCGUCCCUUUGAUCUAUAUUUUCGUCUCCUCGACCUCCUAUAUUCUUCUAUGUUAUAUUGUUUAAACAUUCACUGAUGGCCCAAAAAGCCCAAAAACUCAAGGUCGUGCCACAAGGUGUUCCAAAUCAGUCAACGGGACUAUCGAUUGACAUGCCCAAGGCUCAACUGGAGCCCAUCUACGAUUGGUUGACGACAACAUUCUUGUCCCUACCCCACCCACACGACACGAACUUCAUGCACCAACACUUGGAUUUUGAGAUAGCCCGACACGCCCAGCCAGGUGUUUUUCCUGAACCAAGGCACUCUGGUAAUGACUUACGCACACAAUGGAUUCAGGGUCUAUCACACCCACACACACGCUUGCAUUCGUUGUCCGAUCAUGUUCGUCAUGGGUCUAGGCAGAGCUCUCUAUUUGCCAUUCUUACAAGGACUAAUGUCCCAUGCUUGCGGAACGGAUGGUUUCAAGGUGGCAAAUAUGAUGCUGAUCUUGAAGAACUACCAAACGCCACAUGCCUUUUCACACUUCCUUGGGAUUUUGAUUUUGUCGCUGUUUACUCGUCAGAGUCAAGUUCUUUUCGGCGGAGGAGAAUGAUGCAAGACACGUAGGACCUAAAUUUAUUAGUUUCCUAAUGUAUUUGUUAGUUUCCUAGAUACUCUAGUUUUCCAAAUUCUAGUAGGAUUUCUACUUUUCCAGAUUUCCAGAUUUCUAGUUUUAAGUUUCCUAUUUUAUUUGGGUUAUGAUUUCUAUUUAAGCAAGG
rnacentral:lncRNA from 1 species